rnacentral:pre_miRNA from 1 species
AGAUUAUCUACAAGGGAAUUUUUUUAAUUUUUAAAAUUCCCUUAUGGAUAAUCUGG